rnacentral:lncRNA from 1 species
CACCUCGCCACUGCACCGUCUCGCCACUGCGCCAGUAGCCUUUCUUCACCGCCACCUUAGGUAUAAUUAACCUCCCUCCCUUAUCGUUGUCAUACAUAGGUCGCGUAACCCAAUUAGGCGUCUCCCAUCCGAAAGAGAUACGGCCGUUGGUAUGCGUGUCUGUGCAUAUUCGUCGGCCGUAUCUGUUUUGGAUUGUCCAUGUUUUUUGGACAGCCUGUGGAUGCGUAGAUGGUUAGCUUCCAUGUUUUGCUCCCGUCCGAGUCGGAGUUUCGGCAGCACCUCCCCGUUGUUCUCCGGAUACACACUCUCCUUGCUAGGACGUGUAUCGGGAGAACAGCUGGGAGGUGCUGCCGAAAUUCUGACUCGGACGGGAGUAGAACAUAGAAGCUAACCCGUCUACGCAUCCACGGGUGGGAUUAGGACAUAUCCUUCACCUAUUAGAAGGUAGGAACGUCAUGUAGAUGCAAUUGUUGGUUUUAUUACUCGCUUACACAUGUAUAUGACAGAGGAUGGCUAACCGUGACUGGAUGUACACGGGCUUUGCAAGUAAGAGUGAUGAAUGGAUUAGGGGGGUGGAACAUUUCGUGAAUGAAGCAUUUGACCCAGCUGUUGCUAAAGGGUCAAAACGGAUGCUGUGUCCCUGUAGUGACUGUAAGAACUCAAAAAGAAAAUUGCCCAGAGAGAUGUGGAAAGAUAUUCACAAGAAUGGAUUAAUGCCAAACUAUACCCGCUGGACCUUGCAUGGUGAGCGUGAUCUUAUGACAGCGAAGGAUGUGAGAGCACGCCUCGAGUAUUUUGAUGAAGAUGCCGGGGUGGCCGACAUGAUGGUAGACAUCAACGAGGCAUGUGACAAUGAAGGGUCGGUGGAGGAGGAUCCAGAGGAAACUGCAAAGGCGUUCUACUUGAUGAUGGAUUCGGCACAAAAGCCCCUUCACGAGAAUACAACAAUGUCGCAACUCGAUGGCAUUGGACGCCUUUUAGCGUUGAAGUCACAGUUGAGCUUGAGCCGAGAUGGCUUCGAUCUCGUGUUGAAAGUUUUGGGCACAAUGCUUCCAGAGGGUCACACGCUGCCGAAGAACACUUAUGAGUCACAGAAACUCCUUGGUGCACUUAAGAUGCCGUAUGAGUCUAUCCAUUCUUGUCCUAAAGGGUGCGUCCUAUUUAGGGGAGACGACCUUAAGGAAGCAACACACUGUCCAAAGUGCAGAGCCUCUAGGUAUGUGGAGGUAGAGGGUAGUGAUGGCAGCAAGAAACAGUCUAAGAUCCCCGAGAAGGUCCUACGGUAUCUUCCUGUCCUACCGAGGCUCCAACGGAUGUACAUGACAGAGGAGUCCGCGAAACAGAUGACAUGGCACAAGAAAGGCAAGAGAUAUAGUGACAAGAUGGUACAUCCAUCGGAUGGUGAAGCAUGGAAGUACUUCGAUGACCAGCAUCCUAGCAAAGCGUCGGAGGCUCGGAAUGUACGUGUAGCCUUUGCAACAGAUGGGUUCAACCCGUAUGGAAUGAUGGCGGCCCCGUACACAUGCUGGCCUGUGUUCGUGAUCCCCCUCAAUCUCCCCCCCGGCGUCAUGUUCGAUCCCAAGAAUGUGUUAUUGUCGCUGAUAAUACCUGGACACCCGGGCAGCAAUAUGGGUGUUUUCAUGCAGCCACUGUGGGACGAAUUGCAACAUGCUUGGGAAAAGGGGGUACGAACUUACGACCGAGCUACAAAGCAGAACUUCACAAUGCACGUGUGGUACCAGUAUUCAAUGCAUGACUUCCUAGCGUAUGGCAUAUUCAGCGGGUGGUGUGUUCAUGGGAAGUUCCCUUGCCCAGUAUGCAAGGCCUCUGUGAUGUUCACCUGGCUGACCAAGGGUGGCAAGUAUUCUUCGUAUGACAAGCAUCGUCAAUUUCUAGAUAACGACCAUGAGUUCAGACGAGACAUCAAGCACUUCACGAAAGGUGUUGAAGUCACAGACAACAUUCCUCAGAUUAUGAGCGGUGCUCAGGUCCUUGCCGAGUUAGAGGCCCUCGAAAUUGAUGACAAAGUUGGUUUUAAGAAGUAUGGUGUAGAGCACAUGUGGACUCAUAUAUCGGGCUUGACUAGGCUUCCCUACUUCAAGGACCUUCUUCUUCCACACAACAUCGAUGUAAUGCACACAGAAAAGAAUGUCGCUGAGGCACUCUGGGCAACACUCAUGGACAUAAAGGAAAAGUCAAAGGACAACGUAAAGGCUAGACUAGACAUGGAACAGAUGUGCGAUAGACCAAAGCUAGUGAUGAAGACCCCUGCUCCCGGCAAGAAUUGGAGAAGAGGCCCGGCCGAUUACAUCCUAAAAAGGACUGAUAGGAAGGAAGUACUGGAGUGGAUCAAGGCGUUAAGGUUCCCCGAUGGGUACGCAGCGAAUCUGAGUAGGGGAGUGAACUUGAAGACUUUGAAAGUCUUAGGGAUGAAGAGUCAUGACUUCCACAUAUGGAUUGAGCGGCUACUUCCUGCGAUGACCCGUGGAUACCUCCCCGAUCCAGUGUGGCGUGUCCUAGCAGAGUUGAGCUAUUUCUUCCGACAGCUUUGUGCUAGAGAGUUAUCUCGGGCAGUGAUUCUUGACCUGGAGCGUGUUGCACCUCUGUUGCUCUGCAAGUUGGAGAUGAUCUUUCCACCUGGCUUUUUUCUGCCGAUGCAACAUCUGAUUUUGCACCUACCGCGUGAGGCACGGCUGGGGGGUCCCGUGCAGGCCCGUUGGUGCUAUCCAAUCGAGAGGUGUCUAAAGAUUCUUCGGAAAAAGUGUAGAAAUAAAGCCAAAAUUGAGGCUUCUGUGGCAGAGGCAUUCAUAGUGGAGGAGGUGUCAAACUUCACAACGACGUACUAUACUGAGAACCUUCCCACCGGCGCACCCCCUCGUUACAACGCCGAUGAGAGUUCAUCGACCCUGAGUUUAUUCAAAGGGCAACUUGGAAGAGGAAGCGCAGGUACCCACAAACAGUUGCGAGAUCAUGAGUGGCGCACUAUCAUGCUCUACGUGUUGAUGAACCUUGACGAAGUGGAGCCUUAUCGAAUGUAAGUUCUCAAUGAUCUUGUUACAUACGCCGUCAAUAUCCUCUACAUAUCAAAAGAACAGUGAGCUUGUCUCUUGUUUUUUCAGAAAGUUUGUGAAAGAACAAUGGAAAGGGAGAAGGGCUCCCACCAUCCAAGAAGAAGACAAUCUUCUCAAAAAUGCCGUGCCCGAUUUUAUUUCUUGGUUCCGUACAAAGGUACCAUCCAACCUACCUCGUUUCAACUUUGAGAUUCCACUUUGCUCCUAGGAGGAGUAAUGUAACAAUCUACCUGGCCUCACCUUGCAGGCCCGCACGGAUGCAGAAAUGGAUGGUGAAUUGAAACAGGUUGCACGGGGCUUUGCUACAAGGGUAAAGUCAUUCACCGUUUAUGAUGUGAAUGGCUAUCGCUUUCGCACGAGAAGGCACGAGGAGAGUCGGCCCAACCUAAAGACCACUUGCACAGGAGUUCGUACACCCGGCAACGAUGACCGUGACUAUUACGGCAUAGUCGAAGAAAUAUAUGAGCUUGACUUUGAGGGCCCCCAAGCUCUUAAACCAGUGGUGUUCAAAUGCCAUUGGUUCGAUCCUGAGGUCAUCAGAAGAGCUGAUGACAUUGGGCAAGUCGAAAUUCGAAAAGAUUCCAUCUAUAAAGGAGAAGAUGUCUAUAUUGUGGCUCAACAGGCCACGCAAGUUUAUUAUCUCCCAUGGGCGUGCCAAAAAGACAAGGAUCUUGAGGGUUGGUACCUUGUGCACUUGGUAUCGCCACGUGGUAAAGCGCCCCUCCCAAACGAUGAUGACUACAACUAUGACCCACAAGAUAAUAGCGGAGAGUUCUAUCAACCUGAGGGGCUAGACGGGCGAUUGGAGAUAGACAUUCUUUCGCUAAUGGGCAUGGAAGGCGACAAUGACGUCGAUGAGGACGAGGGUGAAGUAGUGCAAGAUGCUAAGGACUUAAUAAUGCUUGAGGAAUGGAGGGCUCAACGUGAUAGACAUGUUGUUGAGGACGAUGGAGUUGGUGUUGAAAAUGGAUAUGUCGAGGACCUUAGAGAGCUCGACAAUAUUGACAGUGAUGAUGACUAUAGUGACGAUGAGCCAACCACCGCCGUUCGUGGAGAUAAUUUCUAAUUCAUGUAAUAUUGUAUUUUUAUAGUUAUUCAUUUGCAAUUAUGUUUUGUUCAUUUUGCAUAUCUUUGUAAGUACUCCUUGUUUAAUUGUACUAAUUGGUUUUAGCUUUGUCAUUGCAGGUACAGGACAAAAUGCCGGGCGGAAGGCGACCGCGGCGAAAGGGGGUCGCCUCGACCUUCAUGAGGCACAACGACACCGACGACACCGACGACACGGACCUCCAGCCUCAGCUGGAGUCGUCCAUGAGCAGGGACAAUGGACGAGGCCAGGUCACGGCGUCUUCUAGCCCGAUGGCCCAGCCCGAGGAGGAGCACUUCGAGGGCGACCACGUCGAGGACGACGAUGAGGAGCUAGUUGUUGAGGCGGCGAGUUCGUCUAGCUCGAGCAAGCUCUACGCGCGGGGUAUCACGCGCCUCCCUGAUCGGCCGCCCGUGCGACACGCCCGAGCGUUGAUCACACCUUGCGGUGAUAGGUAAGUAACCAUUCAUGUUUUUACGAUUAAUUCAUAUGACAUGUUGAAAAUCGAACUUCAGACUAACAUUUUUUCGUAAUGCCUCGUGCAGGAACUUUGUCAAGGUGGAUGCGACGGAGUCACGCCAUAUCACUAGCAUACAGGGCCUCCUUAUUAAGAAGCACUACCCCGGCUUGGUCGAGCACAAGGGGAAAAGGGAGCCACCCUUUUCCUGGCCGCACUUCUCUAGCGUCGUGGCAAACGACACCACUCUUGCGCAGGUCAUCAAGGCCGAGUUCUGGGUAAGUCUUUAGUACUAUGCAUUCAAUGGAUGUUUUUGAAAUAAUGAAAUAAAACAUAUAUGAUGUUUGUAUGUAGGAGUGGUUCGUGUGCGAGGAGGGGAAAGAGGCCGAGGCGGCAAAAAUCCAGGACAAGGUCUGCAGAGAGCGGCUGAAGGACAUGUACUCCGAGGCGCACAUCCAGUGCGUCAUCUCCUACCACCAUGAGGUGCUUGGCCAGAAGGUGACAAAGAAACAUGCCAGGGAGAUGAUCAUGUUCCCCGACACUGAUAUCACCAGAGAGCAGUACAUGCAGGUAAGUAGGGAACAUUUAUUCUGCCUUUAAAAAUAAGUAUGAAACAUUAAUUCUCAUUCAUCUUCUGACAUAUCAAAUGCACGUUGUCAUGCAGUUUCCUGCUGAUUGGUGCAAAUCACACACCGACUGUUGGGCUCAGAUUGUGGACUCGUGGCAGAGGCCGGAGGCGUACGUGGAGCGUAGAAGGAGACGGGAGAACCGCCUGGCUGCGACGAGAGGGGCGUCACACCACCAGGGGAGCGUGCCCCUCCCAGGGUACAUGGACACAUAUGUAUGUUUCUUUUUUUUGUUUGUUUAUUUAUUUUUGCUAACGCUUUAUUCUCAUUACGUUUAAUCAACCUUGUUUGUGUUUUUCUCGCAGCGCAAGACCCACGGCAACGUGCCCAUCAGCGAGUAUGUUGGGUACGCCCUGGCUAACAAGGGGCGAGCGUCGGAUCCGAACAACGUCUACAACCCACAGGACGGGCCCGAUGCAUACACCAACACUGCCGCCUACGAGAAGAUGUCCGCGUACGCCACUGCAGCUCGCACGCGCCAUGGGGAUGACUUCGACCUUACCACCGAGCCACUGGACACGGACUUGCUCAUGAGGACGGGAGGAGGGAAGCAGCACGGCCGGUACAUGAUUGCCCACAGCGCAAUCAACCCGGCCACCGUACCCACGCUCCGCGAGGUUCGGCAGGGGAGCAGCUCGACCUCCGACGUCCCCAUACGGCCUCGUCAGCCGAGCUCCGUGCAGCAGAUAGCUACGAUGCAG